rnacentral:rRNA from 1 species
AGUGAACGCUGGCGGUAGGCCUAACACAUGCAAGUCGAACGGCAGCACAGUAAGAGCUUGCUCUUACGGGUGGCGAGUGGCGGACGGGUGAGGAAUACAUCGGAAUCUACUUUUUCGUGGGGGAUAACGUAGGGAAACUUACGCUAAUACCGCAUACGACCUACGGGUGAAAGCAGGGGAUCUUCGGACCUUGCGCGAUUGAAUGAGCCGAUGUCGGAUUAGCUAGUUGGCGGGGUAAAGGCCCACCAAGGCGACGAUCCGUAGCUGGUCUGAGAGGAUGACCGGCACACUUGGACUGAGGCACCGUCCCGGCCUCUUCGGGGGGCAGCCGUUGGGAAUUUUUGACCAUUGGGCGCAGCCCGGUCCCGCCCAUCCGCGUGGGUGAAGAAGGCCUUCGGGUUGUAAAGCCCUUUUGUUGGGAAAGAAAAGCAGCAGGUUAAUACCCCGCUGUUCUGACGGUACCCAAAGAAUAAGCACCGGCUAACUUCGUG